rnacentral:lncRNA from 1 species
ACAAAACAAGCAUGAAACCAACUACAGCUAUCUCGGAACCACUUCUGUUGCAGAGAUAUAUUAGUAUCUUUGUUCCAGUUUGUUUCUAGAAUGGCGAUGCAAGCCAUUCAAGACUGGAGAUAGUAGACGACGCCUGCUUCACGCCAAGCCACCUCAGAGUCAUAUGGAUUUGAAGUGCAAGUCUACAACUCCUAGUCCAGGUCAACCAAAGAUACCAAAGCAAGUCCUUUUCUGUGUCCUGCUUUGAUUUCUUCUGCAGGAAAAGGAAAACCACCAGCGUGCAAACUCCCAGUUCCAACCUUCUCUUAUCUCUUGAGUCUGCGGAUUGCAUUGCUUAUGAACCCAGGUCACAGUUCCAGCUCACGACUAUUAUAAUGCAAAUAUAAAAAGGACAGUGGUGUGCCGUGACAAGCAACUCUUUCCAUAUUACAUAUAUUCAUCAGCGUGCUGAUUCCUCGGAUUAAUCAUAUCGGGGCAAGUCAUAACAGAACUCAAAUCAAGUAGUGAGCUGAUCACAACAGGGCACGAAGCAGAGACUGCGAUACAGUACUUCAGCAACAGCAAGUGCAGACUUGUCAGUGAUAAAAUGAAUCUUACUUGCCCCUCUUCCCAGGUUUUAAGGCUGUGACCUUCACCUUGCUAGCCUGCAGUCAGGGAGGCAUAUAUAUAGUUAGUUGUACACUUCACAGGCAGAAACAACCUUAAAGAAGCUUUACUAGCUAAGUUCAGUGCAAUUCACCCCCCUUCUUCCUCCUCCUCUGCCUGCCCACUCCUACCAAUCUUUCAGUGAGAACCAUGGCAGGAGUGAUACCUAUUGCAUACCGCAACUCUUCGUCAUCACCAGACUGGCUCAACAAGGGUGACAAUGCGUGGCAGAUGAUAUCUGCGACCCUCG